CCUGGUUAGCUCAGUUGGUAGAGCGCUCCACCUGUAAUGGAGAGGUCCCGGGUUCGAUACCCGGACCAGGCG
rnacentral:tRNA from 1 species